GGGUUGUUCAGUUCAGCAGUGGGGCAACUGAAAUUGUGCCAAACUCAUGGGUUGAAGGAGAUAAAGUCUUCUGGCCCCCAUACCCUCCUAAGGACUCUAUUAGGCUGAAUGCAGCCAUCCUGAAUAGAGAGCAGCCUGGUCAGGGAUGGCACACAUACCAGCCUAUCCGUCUCCUCAUAACUCGUUAUAGUCAUGAUGAGGCAGCGAGGAGCCUGGACAGAUAUCUCAAUAAAGAUUGUGACACCACUGACAUCCAGUCUGAGGAGGAGAGCCACCAUUCCCUGAAAAGAAAAAGAAGACCGAAUCCAGUUUAUCACUCAGACGAGGAGCCCCAGAAUGAGCGCAGAUUCACCCAAGCCCCAAAAGUGUUAUUUCCAG